GGAGCGAGACCGGCCUGAGGGAGUCUGCUGCCUCCAAACCUCGUGGAACGGAAGAGAGGACGAGGCUUCUCUCUCCGUCUAUUUAUAUGCUGGAUUAUGUAAAGGAAUAGGAUGGAAUACUUCCUUCCUUCCUUCCUGGCAACCAGGAAGGAAGGCCUAAACUCAAAACCGUUACAAGUGUCCAGGACAUAAUUAAGAAUAAUUCCCUAGCUGCCAGAGAAUUGUUGGGAGACCACGCUGGAGACAGGAAUAAAAGGAAAAUAAGAGGAGAAAGGGAAGAAGGAGAGACCUAGAGGAAUCAAGAAGAUAGCCAAUUGAAUGGCAGACAUGCUGAAUAUGGGCAUAUGCACUUCUACCUGAGAUAUCAGAAGACCCAUUAAUUUCUCUUUAAAGCAGAUUCAGCAGGUUGAUUUAACCCAAAUCCAGCAGGACCUGUGGAUCUGAAAUGUGAACUGUGUACCCAGACACAGUGAAGAAGAAGAACACAGGAAAACACAUGGAGUUCCUGAUUCCAGACUGGGCAGUGCUGGUAUAGUCCACAGCAGAAAGGAUCCCUAAACUUACUUCUAUGGUGUCUACUGAGUGUCAGAGAAGCUUUUUUCCCUUUAUAUUUGAUCCAGGCAUCAGCUGGUUCUGCCCCACUGAGGGCAGCUUCUUUUCCCCUACCACAAUCUCCUUUAGUGAUUUAAGGUCACACAGAGAUACCAUAUGCUGACCAAAAAUUUUAAACUUAACUCCUUGUCUGCACUGCCCAUCAGAG